rnacentral:rRNA from 1 species
CAGCAGUCGCCGCGGGAAUACAGAGGGUGCAAGCGUUAAUCGGAAUUACUGGGCGUAAAGCGCGCGUAGGUGGUUUGUUAAGUUGGAUGUGAAAUCCCCGGGCUCAACCUGGGAACUGCAUCCAAAACUGGCAAGCUAGAGUAUGGUAGAGGGUGGUGGAAUUUCCUGUGUAGCGGUGAAAUGCGUAGAUAUAGGAAGGAACACCAGUGGCGAAGGCGACCACCUGGACUGAUACUGACACUGAGGUGCGAAAGCGUGGGGAGCAAACAGGAUUAGAUACCCCAGUAGUCCCUGUCUCUUAUAC